GACGGAGGAUGCAAGUGUUAUCCGGAAUCACUGGGCGUAAAGCGUCUGUAGGUGGUUUAAAAAGUCCACUGUUAAAGAUUGAAGCUUAACUUCAAAAAUGCCGUGGAAACUUUUAAACUUGAGUAUGAUAGGGGUAGAGGGAAUUUCCAGUGGAGCGGUGAAAUGCGUAGAUAUUGGAAAGACCACCAAUGGCGAAGCACUCUGCUGGGCCGACACUGACACUGAGAGACGAAAGCUAGGGGAGCGAAUGGG
rnacentral:rRNA from 1 species